AUCACCCUGCGGUGUACGAGGUCCGUCUGAAGUUUUGAGCCAACACCAAUGUUAAGGGAGCCUGGCCUCUGGAUGUGGAUUGUAAUACUCUACUUAGAGGAAACAUGAAUCAUACAGGAGGGCACCCACCUGUGAGAACAGGUUCAGAAAACUUUGGCGAUUAUCGGCACCAUGGGGUAAUU
rnacentral:other from 1 species